UUUCCAUGAAGAUAACUUUGUCCAGUUCUGCUACUGAUUGAAAGUGGUGAAAAUGGAAGACUCUGAGAAA